rnacentral:rRNA from 1 species
GACGAACGCUGGCGGCGUGCCUAAUACAUGCAAGUCGAGCGGGAGGCUCUCCUUCGGGAGAGACUCUAGCGGCGAACGGGUGAGUAACACGUGGGCAACCUACCCCGAGGACUGGGAUAACUCCGGGAAACCGGAGCUAAUACCGGAUAAUUCUCCAGCUCGCAUGAGUUGGAGCUGAAAGAUGGCGCAAGCCGUCACCUCGGGAUGGGCCCGCGGCGCAUUAGCUAGUUGGUGGGGUAACGGCUCACCAAGGCGACGAUGCGUAGCCGACCUGAGAGGGUGAUCGGCCACACUGGGACUGAGACACGGCCCAGACUCCUACGGGAGGCAGCAGUAGGGAAUUUUCGGCAAUGGGCGCAAGCCUGACCGAGCAACGCCGCGUGAGUGAUGACGGCCUUCGGGUUGUAAAACUCUGUUCUUCGGGAAGAACGCAGGAGAGGUGAAUAGCCUUUUCUGGUGACGGUACCGAAGGAGAAAGCCCCGGCUAACUAC